CAAAUCCUCAAAUUCCCCCUCUCGUCUCCCUCCCUAGGACGCAGCCGCCCACCGAAUCAAAUCCCGUCGCCGGGCUCGUCUGCCUCGUCGUGGCCGAUGAAUGCGUCGGCUGCGGCCACGCCCCCUCUCCAAACGGCGGCGAUGAUGGAGGGAGCAGCUCACGCUGCCAGGCUCCCGACCGAACGCGUCGGGUCAUCUCUCCUCAGGGCCAACCCCUCCUAUUCAUCACAUCUCUCCCUGACUCCGUCUCCUCCACGAGAUGUAGCACCACCCCACGCCAUGGAUGCCCUUGCCGGCUGCAUCUCUCCAUGCGCUGCCACUCCUAUGACACUGCCGCCUGACAGUCUCCACCAGCACCACGACGGGCGUGGCCUCUGCACGCGCCGUCACCUCCCCUCCAGAUCCGGCCGUCGUCGAGGGCAUAUCCAUCCAGCAGUGCACCGUCACCUCCCCUCCAGAUCCAACCGUCGUCAAGGGCGUAUCCAUCCAGCAGCGCGCCGUCAUCCCAAUCAUCACCGUCCACGGCGUCAUCGCCCAGGCCCAGUCAGGGGCCGGCAAGACCUCCAUGAUCUCCCUCUUCGUCUGCCAGGUCAUUGAGACCAACGUCCACGAGUGAUUUCCGCAUAGCUUUUGUGUAUGACGGCUGGAGGACCAACUCAGACCUCGCUUGCCUCAGGGUCAGGAGGUCCAAGGCGCCACAAGACCGGGCCAGGAGUUUGUGUAAACCUGGGCCAGGAGUUUAUUUGAUAAAGGUUUCCAGAAUGAUUGGCCACGCCUACCUAAAAAGUUCGGAAUUUAACCAUGAGCCCCUUCUGGCCUGGUUCCAUAUUCCAAGGCCCUUCCAUAAUCCAAUUCUUUGUCCCGAACCAUCCAUUGAAGAACAUAGACUGUUCAGAAUAUCAGUUUGUUAUAUUUGCAUCAGAUGAACUAUGGGAGCACUUGAACAAUCAGGAAGCUGUGGAUAUAGUUCAUUGUUCACCUCGGAAUGGCAGCCAGUGGUGGAGUAAUCAGUGGUUUAUGAGGUCAUGGAGCCCAAGACCGGAUGCAGCAGAAGAAGCAGCGUCGUUGCCGUGCACUAAGAAGGCCAACAGUCUGUGAGGCGGAAGAUCCAUAGCAUACAGCGGAUGCGUUGGAUAUGCCAUUCCUCAAUGUGUACCUGGAUUCUCUUUGGGCACCUAAUUUUGGGGCAGGUGUUAUUCUAGCAGCCCGCUUCGCUUUGGUCUUCAGAUUAAGCAAUUCUCUGCAUUCAAGGGAAAGGUCAAUAGCUGCUCUCCAAAGCCAACGCCGGUCUGUAUUCAUCUGCUGCGUCAGGUUGGCCACAACGAGGAGACGGACGCGACCGCAUCGUCCCAUCGACCUCCGGGGUCUUUGAUAUCUCAGGGUGUGUGUCAUGUUAUGUUGGGUUUCCUGUGAUUUCGGUGCGGGUAGCUACAUAGCGUCCGUGGGCCAUGCGUGUGACAUGCAUGCUAGGUAAUCUUGACUCCGGUGCGACGGUGCUGGAACCGCCUCCGCUGGUUACGACCGCUGUGGCUAUGCUUGAAGGCAGAAUCAGCACGAUGACUGUAGUGGCUGCACUCAGAUCAGGGCAGCCACGGGAUAUGAUCAAGCCUUUACUGUCGUCCUCUGAAUUUGGGAUCACGUGCAUCGGCAAGAGAAAUAGCAUGAGAGCCUAAGAGGGUAGUACCACGUUACGAACAAGUUGAUUUUUAUCCAUGGAAUUGAUCUGAUGCGAAGCUGAUGCCACAUAAAAGGCAUCUAGCUGCAGGUGGAAUAACAAGAUUCAGUGUGUGCAAAGACAACAAUAAAUAACAUGUCAUUAGGGAGACUUCUGACAAUUGAACCCUGCAUUUUUUUGGCAUUAGUACAACUGUUCUACUGCAUUAUUCAACUAUGCGCGAUGAAGCUGAUAUAGGGUGUGGACUAGACAAUUUAUUCAGUUUUCUUCAAGAAGGUAUGCAGAUUGGGCAUCAAAGUAGACGACAAAGGAUGACAUUCUGCACCUUACAACUUAAAAAUUGAAAGAUACUUUCUAUUUUAUAUUGAUGUGAUCGCCAGCGAGAACAAAUUUUUGACUGAAUUUGUUUCAUUAAAGUGAAGUUGUUCGGACUUUUCUUUGAAUGUUUCUUUUAGUUGCGUAAAAAAGCAUUGUGGGUAAUGUUUUUUUGAGCUGAUUAUGAGUAAUGUUUGGUUCCAUGCAGGACCAAGGAAUGAACACGAAGCAAAUUAUAACUCUCAGGUUCAUGGUUUAGGAGCAGGAAAGAACACUUCCAAUUGUGUAGAUGGGUCAUCAGUAGCAUUUCUCUAAUUAUCCUUAUAGAGACUGAUUUGGAUUGUUGAAGGAAAGGAUCUCAAUUCUCAAUAGCAAACUGCACUGGGACAUCUUGGACACAUUUCUGAGCUAGGUGAGUUGGACAGCAUGUCAUGGGGGGAAAUCAUUUUUUCCUUCCAAUCCGUGGGCUAAAUUUGUUAUCACCAUAUGUUUUAAAUUUUGUGUCAUCCUUGAACUUUUGAGGAAUUGUUAGAUAUGUUGGUGAGCGGGCAGGCGGCGCUAGACAUGGCAGGGCAAGAGAGCACGAGGGAGAAUGUCAAAGGGGGCAACAUAAAUGAGAGUUCACCGUUAUGCUCAUGUGGUCAGAACCUAGAGCAUGGAUACAAGACCUCCAUCUUCUAUGGACAUCAGAGCAGAGGAGAAGUGAUGAUGGACAUCAGACCAGUGAAGACAGUGAGCAUGUGCUCCUAGACGAUACUUAUCAUAUCAUAUUCUCAGUGUGUAGUCAAAAACUGUAUGCCACAUAUACGUUGUGAAUUACUAUGAUAUUUGAUCAA